CCUACGGGUGGCAGCAGUGAGGAAUAUUGGUCAAUGGCCGGAAGGCUGAACCAGCCAAGCCGCGUGAGGGAGGAAGGCGCAGUGGGUCGUAGACCUCUUUUGCCAGGGGACAAAAGGCCGGACUCGUCCGGUCCUGAGAGUGACCGGAGAAAAAGCAUCGGCUAACCCCGUGCCAGCAGCCGCGUUAAUACGUAGGAUGCGAGCGUUAUCCGUAUUUCUUGGGUUCAAAGGGUUCGUAGGCGGGUCAUAACGCCGGCGGUAAACUCGGGGGGCUCAACCCCGUCUAGCCGUGGAAACUGGGUGCCUUGAGUGCGCCGGAGGUAUGCGGAAUGCGUGGUGUAGCGGUGAAAUGCAUAGAUAUCGCGCAGAACCCCGAUUGCGAAGGCAGCUUGCC
rnacentral:rRNA from 1 species